ACUGGAUCUGUCUGAAAAGCUGAUGUCUUCCAUGUCCAUAUUUCUUUUCUUUUCAAUCCAUUUCUCCUGCCUUUCAGUUAUUAUUUUAACCAUAACAACUGGUUGUCUCAUAUCUUGUUGUUUUUCCAAGUAGCAGAAAAUCUGUCUGUCAGCUCAGUUCAAGUCUUCUUUGUUGUGUGUUUUGCAUUUGUGCAUGUGAUUGUGUGUGCAGCUAUGUCAGGGAGAGAGAGAAAGAGAGAGAGAGAGAGAGAGAGAGAGAAUACCUUGCAGGCAGAGGUACAAUAAGGAAAUAGCUGUAAAAAAUUAGCAACACAACAAUUGUCCUCAUAUGAAUUUUAAAUUUUAUAUAUUUUUGUGGCCUUUGACUUGCCAGCAGAUGUUAUUGGCCAUGUUAAUACUUGUGAUAGGAUGACUAUAGAUGUGCAUGGAUACUGCCAGAAAAAUAAUGUAAUGAUAUACAAGUGAGUUUUAUAUAGAUAAAGCAGACCUUUAACAAGAGUUAAAUAAUCAUCACUACAAAGCAGUAUUGCCAAUGUCACAUGGUUUGAAGGAGGAAGAGGGAAGCCUGCCAGAGCCAAACUGGCCAAUCAGGUGACUAUUUCAUAAUUCCAGAAUGAGCAAAUCCCCUCAUGAAAAAAAAAAAAAAUCUAGUUCCUUUUUCCAUGUAAGCCCUGCAAUAUGGUCAAAAAGCACACAACGAACACAGCAGCACCGGCUUGGAGAAAUGAAACUAAGGAACUGAUGCUGGUGUUAAAAUGAAUUGCAUUUUAUUAACGACAAGGACGAUAAGCAACAAUUCAUCUUGUUGUAUACUUCCCCUUCAACAGAUAGGAACUUGACGGGCAAGUGAUGGGGUGGGAGAGUGAGAGAAAUAUAACAUUUGGACCACAUCAUACCACAUUUGGCUCCCUCCACAGACCUCAGCUGGAUGUUUGGGGUCUCAGGUUCGGCGGAUGUCAGGGGUCACGACGAGGAGUCCUGCCUCGUUCGAUUGGUCAAGCAGAGGCUCUCCAGCUGCUGAGCGCGCUCAUUGUGGACAGUCACCAAGGUGCGGUUCUCCUCUGUUAGGCGCAGAAACUCCUCCUCAAGACGGACGAUCUCAAUGGCAACCUUCUCAUCCUCUACCAACUCUGCCAGCAACUUACGCCUAAAUAGAUGAGUGAGAUAAAGAUUUUAGCAGCAGGUUUUACAUGAUGUACCCAUAACAGAUCCCCGUUUCAGAGAAAGGUCAGCAGAUGAUCAGGCACAAUUACACAAUGAGCAAUUUUUAUGGAAAGUGGUGGCCCAAAGGUUUGUUAGAGAAAUGACCUUGUGACCGGGAGGUCGCCGGUUCAAUCCCCGGACCGGCAGGAUCAAAUCUGGGUGUGGAAAGCAGUUCUUGCCCUCCCUCAUUUACUACCACUGAGGUGCCCUUGAGCAAGGCCCAUAACCCCAACUGCUCCAGUAGAGCUGCUCAGUGGCCAGCAGACCUGUGGUUGUAUUGGGCAGCUUCCAGGUGUGAAUGUGUAACAGUAUGAUCAGGGCCUUCCUGCAAAUUAGAGGUUGUUCUCAGUGAAGCUCCCUGAAUAAUAAUAAAAAAAUUAUUCUCCAGCUAUCUUGUUUCUGGAAGGAAAGGAAGGAGACCAGAGAAACCAAAGUAACUAUAAAAACAAUGCAAACUUACAGGAAGGGCUGAGCAUGGGAAAAAACAUUGAUCCUUUUGGGAAACAAAGCCAGCUACCACGGAAAUAAGACACUUUGUGGGCCGUGUCCAAAUAAAGUGUAAUAUGGGUGAUGCUUUUUUGUUCCUUACAUAUAAGGAAAGAUGAUGUGUUGAUGUUUGGUACAAACCUAACUUACUAACAUAUUGGAUAAUGAAAAACAGCUACAGUGUAGAUCUGCAGAAGGUUACAUUUAAAUACAUUACCAUCAGAUAUAGAGAUAUGCAGGUUUAAUGGUCUUUUUGAAGAGAAAAUACUUUCUGAUUUAGAUGAGAUUGAAGAUGAAAUGCAUUUUAUGUUUUAUUUGCCAUGAUGAUUUAAAUAGAGCUGCAGCACACAUAGUGACAUGUAAUCCGCCCACUGCCUGACCUCACCCCUGUGGUUUUACGUGUUUUUUUAUUAAACCACGUAAAUCUAUUCUGGAAUGACCCCUUAAUAAAAUUAUGAACCUGAAUAUGAGCAUAAUAUGACCACUUUAAGGGCUACAAAUCUUAAUACAAUGACCUUCAUUUCUUUUGAGUUCUUCAGGAGAGAUAGACCUUAAGUUGCAGUUGUGGAAUUUUUUUUUUUGUGUAGAAUUUUAUUGAGUUUCACGGAAAGACAAAUUGCUUUGUUUACAAUGUAAUGUUACACAUAUAUCAGAAGUUAUGUUCUUGUCUGACAAAUGUUUCUCUAUUCCAACAGUAUUUUUGGAGUAUUGUCUGUCACUGUGGGGUGGGCGCUAACUAACAAACUAACAACAUUUUUCCCAAUAAAGCCAAACCAAAUUGAAUGACUAUAGCUCUGGUUUAGGCAGCAAACAGUGAUUUCACACUCUGGGAAGAGAUCGGCCUUUGGACUUGUAAAGACAGUGUGUACAUAUGUGCACACACGUAUGUGUACAAUGUGUGUCAUAGCCUCACACCUGAGAUUGUGUGACUGUUGUAUUACAACCAGGAAGUGCCAAGUCACAUAACAGCAGUAUUAACAAACAAGAAAAGGAGUCUCUAUUCUACAAUCCAGGCCGUCUGUAGAGCUUUAGUGACAUAACUAUGACGAUAUGGGAGUUUUCUUAACUGGGGGAUGCAAUGUUAAGUGAUUUAAAGGUAUUCAUUUCUUUUCCCUAAGAAAUUUAAGCCCAACUCACAUACACAUGUGAUAGGUUGACCCUAGUUGUUUUUUAAGCUAUGUAUAAAAGCACAACUGAUUGACACAAAUAUGAGGAUAGGGUUCGUCCCGACCAGUGUAUUCAAGGGUUUUGAAUUUUAUUAUUGAAGCAAAUAAUUUGUUUGCAUACGGAUCACAAAUAAACCCUUUGAAUCUUAUCUAAACACAUUUACUAACUAUUACUUUUAAAUCCUCUUGUCCUAAUACCUAUGAAACCAGUUUCAGUUGAUUCACUUUCUGAAAGAACAGUAGUAGGAAACGAUAAUUAAAAAAAGACUGUUUGGUGGAAACUAUCUACACAGCCACAAUCUUACAAAUGGAUUGUGGCUGUGUAGAUAGUUUCCCUUACACUGGUAAUUCCAUCUGAGUUGGUAAGCAGAACUCUCUUUAUGAUUUUUCAUACAUAUGACACACACACAAACGCACUAAACACAAUGAGUAGGCAUGUGGUUACUGUAAUAUAUGAUUUUGCAAUCAUACAUGAUUAAACUGUUUUUUGGGUUAAAUAAAUGUAAUUAAACUACA